UACGGGGGGGGCAAGCGUUGUUCGGAAUUACUGGGCGUAAAGGGCUCGUAGGCGGCCAACUAAGUCAGACGUGAAAUCCCUCGGCUUAACCGGGGAACUGCGUCUGAUACUGGAUGGCUGGAGUUUGGGAGAGGGAUGCGGAAUUCCAGGUGUAGCGGUGAAAUGCGUAGAUAUCUGGAGGAACACCGGUGGCGAAGGCGGCAUCCUGGACCGACACUGACGCUGAGGAGCGAAAGCCGGGGGAGCAAACGGG
rnacentral:rRNA from 1 species